AGGACGAACGCUGGCGGCGUGCUUAACACAUGCAAGUCGAACGGAAAGGCCCUUUCGGGGGUACUCGAGUGGCGAACGGGUGAGUAACACGUGGGUGAUCUGCCCUGCACUUCGGGAUAAGCCUGGGAAACUGAGUCUAAUACCGGAUAGGACUACGGCCUGCAUGGGUUGUGGUGGAAAGCUUUUGCGGUGUGGGAUGGGCCCGCGGCCUAUCAGCUUGUUGGUGAGGUUAUGGCUUACCAAGGCGACGACGGGUAGCCGGCCUGAGAGGGUGACCGGCCACACUGGGACUGAGAUACGGCCCAGACUCCUACGGGAGGCAGCAGUGGGGAAUAUUGCACAAUGGGCGCAAGCCUGAUGCAGCGACGCCGCGUGAGGGAUGACGGCCUUCGGGUUGUAACCUCUUUCAGUAGGGACGAAGCGAAGUGACGGUACCUGCAGAAGAAGGACCGGCCGAACUACGUGCCAGCAGCCGC
rnacentral:rRNA from 1 species